rnacentral:rRNA from 1 species
UACGUAGGGUGCGAGCGUUAAUCGGAAUUACUGGGCGUAAAGCGUGCGCAGGCGGUUAUGCAAGACAGAUGUGAAAUCCCCGGGCUCAACCCGGGAACUGCCUUUGUGACUGCAAGGCUGGAGUGCGGCAGAGGGGGAUGGAAUUCCGCGUGUAGCAGUGAAAUGCGUAGAUAUGCGGAGGAACACCGAUGGCGAAGGCAAUCCCCUGGGCCUGCACUGACGCUCAUGCACGAAAGCGUGGGGAGCAAACAGG